rnacentral:rRNA from 1 species
CCUACGGGUGGCUGCAGUGGGGAAUAUUGGACAAUGGGCGAAAGCCUGAUCCAGCCAUGCCGCGUGUGUGAAGAAGGUCUUCGGAUUGUAAAGCACUUUAAGUUGGGAGGAAGGGUUGUAGAUUAAUACUCUGCAAUUUUGACGUUACCGACAGAAUAAGCACCGGCUAACUCUGUGCCAGCAGCCGCGGUAAUACAGAGGGUGCAAGCGUUAAUCGGAAUUACUGGGCGUAAAGCGCGCGUAGGUGGUUUGUUAAGUUGGAUGUGAAAUCCCCGGGCUCAACCUGGGAACUGCAUUCAAAACUGACUGACUAGAGUAUGGUAGAGGGUGGUGGAAUUUCCUGUGUAGCGGUGAAAUGCGUAGAUAUAGGAAGGAACACCAGUGGCGAAGGCGACCACCUGGACUAAUACUGACACUGAGGUGCGAAAGCGUGGGGAGCAAACAGGAUUAGAUACCCCAGUAGUC